CCUACGGGUGGCUGCAGUGGGGAAUAUUGCACAAUGGGGGAAACCCUGAUGCAGCCACGCCGCGUGAGUGAAGACGUAAUUCGUUAUGUAAAGCCCUAUCAGCAGGGAAGAAACUGACGGUACCUGAGUCAGAAGCCACGGCUAACUACGUGCCAGCAGCCGCGGUAAUACGUAGGGGGCAAGCGUUAUCCGGAUUUACUGGGUGUAAAGGGGGCGUAAGCGGCAGUGAAAGUCUGGAGUGAAAGGCGGGGGGUCAACCCCCGGACUGCUCUGGAAACUGUACGGCUGGAGUGCAGGAGAGGUAAGGGGAAUUCGUGGUGUAGCGGUGAAAUGCAUAGAUAUUAGGCAGAACACCGGUGGCGAAGGCGGCUUACUGGAGUGUAACUGACGUUGAGGCUCGAAAGCGUGGGGAGCGAACAGGAUUAGAUACCCCGGUAGUC
rnacentral:rRNA from 1 species